rnacentral:rRNA from 1 species
AUUGAACGCUGGCGGCAUGCCUUACACAUGCAAGUCGAACGGCAGCACGGGAGCAAUCCUGGUGGCGAGUGGCGAACGGGUGAGUAACAUAUCGGAACGUGCCCAGUAGUGGGGGAUAACUGCUCGAAAGAGCAGCUAAUACCGCAUACGACCUGAGGGUGAAAGGGGGGGAUCGCAAGACCUCUCGCUAUUGGAGCGGCCGAUAUCAGAUUAGCUAGUUGGUGGGGUAAAGGCCUACCAAGGCAACGAUCUGUAGUUGGUCUGAGAGGACGACCAGCCCCAAUGGGGCUGGGACACGGCCCGGACUCCUACGGGAGGCAGCAGUGGGGAAUGUUGGACAAUGGGCGCAAGCCUGAUCCAGCAAUGCCGCGUGCAGGAAGAAGGCCUUCGGGUUGUAAACUGCUUUUGUCAGGGAAGAAAUCCUCUAGGUUAAUACCCUUGGGGGGAUGACGGUACCUGAAGAAUAAGCACCGGCUAACUACGUGCCAGCCGCCGCCGUAAUAC